rnacentral:tRNA from 1 species
GCCUUCGUGGUGUAGUGGUCAGCACACUCGACGCAUAUUCGAGAGGUCCGUGGUUCGAGUCUCAGUGAGGACA